rnacentral:lncRNA from 1 species
UAAAACUAAAUUAUUUAUUCAUGUCAAGAUUUUGGCAAACAAUAAAGAACAGUAAGUGUGAGUGAGAAAAUAAACAGACACAAGAGGGUGAUGCAUGUUAGUAAACUAGUCAUUAAAAUCAAUUCAACAAUUACUGUAAAUUCAGAAAUUUUUGCAAAAUUUUUAUUAUAGCAAGAAUUGUGAUGGGACAGGUUUGGCAAAAAUAAAAGCUUGCAUUCUUAAUUUGAAAGCAAAAUAUUUAUGAAAAAUAUGUUGAAAUUGAAAAAUCAUGAAAUCAAACAUCCAUGAAAAUUCCAUUUUUUCAGAGUCAACAAAAAAUGGUAUCCACGAAAAUAAAUGAAUUCAAAGUAAUUAAUCAAGAAUUUGAGUCAUUUAUUCAAAUACAGCAAUUAUAAAUGCACACAAAAAUAUCUGAAUUUACAGUACGGUAAUUCUUAAAUCAGUAGUUAUAGCAAUAAUAUACUU